rnacentral:misc_RNA from 1 species
UUUAAUGGAGUAUUUCUUUUAGUUGAUGGUUGCAUACUAUUUGAGUUUUUAUGCUGAUUUAAUGCAGAGGUGUUUGUUAGAAAGGUUCCUAUAAGGGUGGGUAAGUUUAUAAAAAAAAAGGGUGGGUAAGUUAGCAAACAUAUAUGUGUGUGUAUGUGACUUUGCUAUUAUAAAAAUUUUAAGGCUCAGCAUAUCCUUUAACUACGAGGUUGUUUCGGUUGUGUUUUGAUCUGUGAUAGGUUUCUAGUGAGAGGAGGGAAGGUUACAACUUUUUAUCAGUAAUUUGACAAAGAUAAGAUAAAUGAUGAAGUUUCUAAUAAAUUUUUUUGGGUAAAUGAGUAGGUAAUUUUCAAGAUAGAAUGGAUUUCUAAUGAGACAACUUUCUUCUCUUGAGAAUCUUUUAACAAUGACGUGCAAUAAGUCAGUUGAAAUGCAGAUAAAUCAAUUAAAUUAUGUCUAUUAGAUGAUGGUGACUUUUUAUUGUUCUUGGCUUUUAUUACUG